rnacentral:rRNA from 1 species
GAUGAACGCUGGCGGCGUGCCUAACACAUGCAAGUCGAGCGAACGGACGAUAAGCUUGUUGCUUUGAUGUUAGCGGAGGGCGGGAGUGUCACACGUGGAUCAUCCACUUAUAAGUCUGGGAUAAUCUCGGGAAACCGGAGCUUAUACCGGAUAAUCUUCUGAACCGUAUGGUUCAAAAGAGAAUGACGGCCUUGCUGUCACUAAUAGAUGCUUCCGCGCUGCAUUAGCUAGUUGGUAAGGUAACGGCUUACCAAGGCUACGAUGCGUAGCCGACCUGAGGGGGUGAUCGGCCACACUGGAACUGAGACGCGGUCCAGACUCCUACGGGAGGCAGCAGUAGGGAAUCUUCCGCAAUGGGCGAAAGCCUGACGGAGCAACGCCGCGUGAGUGAUGAAGGUCUUCGGUUCGUAAAGCUCUGUUUUUGGGGAAGAACAGAUGUGUACGUAGCUGUACACUGCUUGACGGUACCUAAUCAAAAAGCAACGGCUAACUACGUG